UACGAAGGGGGCUAGCGUUGUUCGGAAUUACUGGGCGUAAAGGGCGCGUAGGCGGUCCCUCAAGUCAGGCGUGAAAGCCCCGGGCUCAACCUGGGAACCGCGCUUGAGACUGAUGGCUAGAGUCGGAGAGGAUGGUGGAAUUCCCAGGUGUAGAGGUGAAAUUCGUAGAUAUUGGGAAGAACACCGAUGGCGAAGGCAGCCAUCUGGACCGACACUGACGCUGAGGCGCGAAAGCGUGGGGAGCAAACAGGAUUGAGAUACCCGGUAGUCC
rnacentral:rRNA from 1 species